UGGGGGAUAUUGCACAAUGGGCGAAAGCCUGAUGCAGCGACGCCGCGUGGGGGAUGAAGGCCUUCGGGUUGUAAACUUCUUUUGCUCUGAACAAGGCAUGCCUUUGGGGUGUGUUGAGUGUAGGGGUUGAUUAGCGCCGGCUAACUACGUGCCAGCAGCCGCGGUAAUACGUAGGGCGCGAGCGUUGUCCGGAAUUAUUGGGCGUAAAGGGCUUGUAGGUGGCUGGUUGCGUCUGUCGUGAAAGCUCAUGGCUUAACUGUGGGUUUGCGGUGGGUACGGGCUGGCUUGAGUGCAGUAGGGGAGGCUGGAAUUCCUGGUGUAGCGGUGGAAUGAGCAGAUAUCAGGAGGAAUACCGGUGGCGAAGGCGGGUCUCUGGGCUGUUACUGACGCUGAGGAGCGAAAGCGUGGGGAGCGAACAGG
rnacentral:rRNA from 1 species